AAAAGCUCCGGCAGUAUAGGAUGGUCCCGCGUCUGAUUAGCUGGUUGGCGGGGUAACGGCCCACCAAGGCGACGAUCAGUAGCCGGCUUGAGAGAGUGGACGGCCACAUUGGGACUGAGACACGGCCCAAACUCCUACGGGAGGCAGCAGUGGGGAAUAUUGCACAAUGGGGGAAACCCUGAUGCAGCGACGCCGCGUGAGUGAAGAAGUAUUUCGGUAUGUAAAGCUCUAUCAGCAGGGAAGAAAAAAGACGGUACCUGACUAAGAAGCCCCGGCUAACUACGUGCCAGCAGCCGCGGUAAUACGUAGGGGGCAAGCGUUAUCCGGAAUUACUGGGUGUAAAGGGUGCGUAGGUGGCAUGGUAAGUCAGAAGUGAAAGCCCGGGGCUUAACCCCGGGACUGCUUUUGAAACUGUCAUGCUGGAGUGCAGGAGAGGUAAGCGGAAUUCCUAGUGUAGCGGUGAAAUGCGUAGAUAUUAGGAGGAACACCAGUGGCGAAGGCGGCUUACUGGACUGUCACUGACACUGAUGCACGAAAGCGUGGGGAGCAAACAGGAUUAGAUACCCUGGU
rnacentral:rRNA from 1 species